rnacentral:rRNA from 1 species
AAUGAACGCUGGCGGCAGGCCUAACACAUGCAAGUCGAGCGGAGCGGCGGACGGGUGAGUAAUGACUAGGAAUCUGCCUGGUAGUGGGGGAUAACGUCCGGAAACGGGCGCUAAUACCGCAUACUAUCAGAUGAGCCUAGGUCGGAUUAGCUAGUUGGUGGGGUAAAGGCCUACCAAGGCUGCGAUACGUAAGUUGGCUGAGAGGAUGAUCAGUCACACUGGAGCUUGGACACGGUCCAGACGCCUACGGGAGGCAGCAGUGGGGAAUCUUCCGCAAUGGACGAAAGUCUGACGAAGCAACGCCGCGUGAGUGAUGACGGCCUUCGGGUUGUAAAGCGCUGUUAAUCGGGACGCGGUACCGGAAUAGAAAGCCACGGCUAACUACGUGCCAGCAGCCGCGGUAAUAC